rnacentral:lncRNA from 1 species
AUCCCGGCAAGUGAGCGCCCAGGGACUCUCGGCCAGAGAGGCUGUGAGGGUGGCUUUGUGAGGAUGGCUUUGUGUGGCUGCACAUUGCCCUUGGCCAAGCCCCGCUGCCAGGAGAGGCAGCUCGGCUGCCAAACCUCCUGAACCCAAGUUACCUGAGCAAGCAGCCCUAUCCCCUCGCCUGCUUCUCACUGCCUCGCCUGCCUUGGGCCUGCCCGACCCAGGGGGUCACAUGCCUUGUUCCCCAUCAGUGGAGACCAGGGACAAGAAGACAGUUCUGUGGGAAGAGCCAGGAGGACCAUUUGGGAAAAUACAGGUUCCAGGUGUGUCUCCAGACCUUGAGAGUUGGUGUCUCCUGGGAAGAGGCCCUGAUGAGAUCUGGGGAGAUUCGGAUCUGAUGAGAUUCAGGAAGCCCUGGCCUCUCCGUACUUGAGGAGACGGGACACACAGGACAAGCUGCAGGCUGGUGAGCAGGUUCACCUUCUAUUUUGAAGACCCGCUUCUUCCUCAGGUACCUGAUCUUGAAAACGACCUCCCCUUUCAGUUCUGGAGGCCAGAAGCCCAAAAUCAGUCUCGCUGGGCUAACGUGAAGGUGUCAGUCGGGCUGGUUCCUUCUGGAGGCUCCAGAAAAGAAUCUGUUUUCUUGCCUUUUCUGGCUCAGUUUCUCGGCUUGUGGCUCCUUCCUCCAUCUUCAAAGAGCACCACUCCAAUCUGCUCCUCCAUCAGGUCACCUUCUGCCUGACUCCUACAUCCCUUUCAGAAGGACCCUUGUGAUUCCAUGAGGUCCACCCAGAUCACGCAGGAUAAUGUCCCCGUCUCAAGAGGCUUAAUCUAAUCACAGUGAAAACCAUUUCCUCCUCGUCGUGGCGCAGGUCCAGAGGCUGCGCCCAUCUCUCCCACGUCAACAGUCCUGUGUCCUUGGCGAAGGACUGUUCUCUCAUUCAGUGCCUUUCCUCUCUUCCUGGGCCAAAUCCCUGCUUUGCGUCUCCCUGCAGCUCAUAAAAAGCUGAAUUACCUGAGGCAGGGAAAGCCCCACCCACUGUCAUUCUCAGGGAGGAGUGGAGUCUGCAGAGGCCGCAAUGCACAGCUUCCCUAUCCCCCUCCACCCGUGUUUUCCCAGAGCAGCUCUGUUCCAGGCCCGGGGGUGUCCCUGGGCCGAGAUGGAAUCCAGCCCUGACCACCUCCCAAAGCCAACAGCCCUGAGUGAGCGUGCAGAGAAGCAAGAGCUGUUCCUGAUGCAGAGCAAAGACAUCUCCCAGUCAAGGGGGAUGAACUGAUUUGGGACAAAAGGCAGUUGUUGGCUGAGGAAGGCAGGAUCUGGGGGAGCCCUGUGCUGAGUGGAGGUGGGUGGGUGUAUUUCCUUGGCUCACAGAGGCCUCUUGUCUGGUGGGAUCAGCUCCUCCAGCCAGUUGCCACCUGGUCCAGCUUUGGGAGAUGUGGAGAAUGACUUUCGCAGUGAUUUCCACUGGGCCAUGGCAUUGAAACAGCUGCAGGAGGGGACACAGCUGGUGCCACCCCUACUCCGUCCAUUAGAGCUGCUGUGAAGGAAUGCCACCCUCCCCAUGGGGAGUGAGGGGGCCCUACUUGCUGUGGUUGGUUCCAGGGACCAUGGGAAGAGGCAAACCCCUAUUUUCAAGGGCACAAGUUGGCUUUUAUUAAAAUAAAAUUUCAUCAUCACUUAUUCCAGUGGCUCCCAAACUUGGCUAAACAUCAGGAUCACCCAGGAUGUUUGUUAAAAAAUAAAGAUUAUGGCCGGGUGCAGUGGCUCACGCCUGUAAUCCUAGCACUUUGGGAGGCCCAGGCGGGCAGAUCACUUGAGGUCAAGAAUUCGAGACCAGCCUGGCCAACAUGGGGAAAUGCUGUCUCUACUAAAAAUACAAAAAUUAGCUGGGUGUGGUGGUGCAUACCUGUAACCCCAGCUACUCGGAGGCAGAGGCAGGAGAAUUGCUUGAACUUGGGAGGCAAAGGUGGCAGUGAGUCGAGAUAGCGCCACUGCACUGCACUCCAG